rnacentral:rRNA from 1 species
UACAGAGGGGGCAAGCGUUGUUCGGAAUUACUGGGCGUAAAGGGCGCGUAGGCGGCCCGCUAAGUCGAACGUGAAAUCCCCGAGCUCAACUCGGGAACUGCGUCCGAUACUGGCGGGCUUGAAUCCGGGAGAGGGAUGCGGAAUUCCAGGUGUAGCGGUGAAAUGCGUAGAUAUCUGGAGGAACACCGGUGACGAAGGCGGCAUCCUGGACCGGCAUUGACGCUGAGGAGCGAAAGCCAGGGGAGCAAACGGG